CCCAAACACAAAGAAAUUUCAGCUAACAGGGAAAUAGCGACUCGAGUGCAGUUUCAAUCGCGCGCAUCUGUCCACCCUCUCAUCCUUAUCCUUGUCGUACGGUAUAAUCCAGAUGUUGCAAUCUCGUGGUUUGCUCAUCCUUGUAAAGAAAUCGGACGGUCCUCCUCAGCAGUCCAUUGCAGAUUGAUGAAUUUUGUACUAUUUACAGCUAUUCAAUAUUAUCUCUUUAAGAAAAUUGGAAUUUUGAUUUUAAAAUUUGACCCUUUUUCCUCUCUUUUCCCCCCCAAAUCCGAACCUCAAUCCCUUGGUAUAAAUAAUCCUCUUCUUUUUGUGUUAGGGGGAUUUUUUGGGGGUGUUGGAUGGAUUUUGUAUAAAAAAUAUAUAUAGAGGAAGAAAUUUUAGAGGAAAAAAAAGAAGGUUUGGUCUUCACUGAUACAAGCUUUGGAAGAAGCAUAGUUUAGAGAAAAACAAAAAAAUUUAUAAGCUUGCAGACAGAAAGUUAAUAUUUGAACAAGGAGCAUUCUGAAAUAGUAUCCUAAAGGACUUAAUUCUCUUUCCGUUCAGUUUCUUCCUUCACGCAUAGAUUGUCGUAGUUCAUAGAAUCUCAUGCGGUUGUGGUGAAGUUGUUGCUCUGUUUCGUCUUGUCCCAGAAGCUGCCUAUAAGAAGAGACAUAAAGGCUUAAAUAUUCAUUUUCUUGGGUCUACAAUUCCCCCUUUUUCCUGCUAAGCAGUUACGAACAGAUUUUUGAACCAAAAGUUGAAGCGGAGACAUUGAAGAGUUGAUGUUCUGUGACUAAAAGCCUAUAUUUUGUAUUUAUUUUAUUUCAUCUUUUGUUAGGCCUAAGGCCUUUGUAAGUUUACUUAUUUUGUUUGAUUAGUCUAGGACAGAUACAAAGGAAAAAGGUCAAGGUCCCGAAAACGCCAAACGGGUCCAAAUAUUGGUCCAGGCGGACAAAUAACCCAGAUUUGGGCCCAACUCUCUCUCUUCUGUCUCUCUUACUUUUGUUUAUUUAUUUGUUUUUAUA